rnacentral:rRNA from 1 species
AUGCGCCACCUGCUCCUGCCCCGCCGCCUUCUCGCCAUGGCUCCCCUCUCCGCUUCCGCCGCGACCAAAGCUCUCCUGCUAAACCCAGCCCGAGGCCGCCUCCCCUCCUCGCUCGCGUGCCUCUCCGCCCAUGGCGCCCGCUCGUUCCGCGCCGCCUCGCUCCGCUGCUAUGCCGCCGCCGCGGUGGCCGAGCAGCACCGAAUCAAGGUCAACAACCCCAUCGUCGAGAUGGACGGUGACGAGAUGACGCGGGUAAUGUGGAAGAUGAUAAAGGAUAAGCUUAUCUUCCCGUACCUGGACCUGGAUGUUAAGUACUUCGACCUUGGGGUGCUCAACCGGGAUGCCACCGAUGAUAAGGUCACUGUCGAGAGUGCCGAGGCUACUUUGAAGUAUAAUGUUGCUGUUAAGUGUGCUACAAUUACUCCUGAUGAAACAAGAGUCAAAGAGUUCAAGCUCAAGUCAAUGUGGAGGAGCCCAAAUGGCACCAUCAGGAACAUCCUAAAUGGAACUGUUUUCCGGGAGCCUAUCUUGUGUAAAAAUAUUCCACGGAUACUUACUGGUUGGAAGAAACCCAUUUGCAUAGGAAGACAUGCAUUUGGAGACCAGUAUCGAGCUACCGAUAUGAUUAUUAAUGGUCCAGGAAAGCUUAAGAUGGUUUAUGUGCCUGAUGGAGCUGAGCCGGUGGAGCUAAAUGUUUAUGAUUUCAAAGGGCCUGGAGUCGCAUUAGCAAUGUAUAAUGUGGAUGAGUCUAUUAGGGCAUUUGCUGACUCAUCAAUGGCAAUGGCCCUGUCCAAGAAAUGGCCUCUUUAUCUGAGCACCAAGAACACAAUACUAAAAAAAUACGAUGGCAGAUUCAAGGACAUCUUUCAGGAGGUAUAUGAAGAGAAUUGGAAGGAGAAGUUUGAGGAAAACUCAAUAUGGUAUGAGCACCGGUUGAUUGAUGACAUGGUGGCAUAUGCUGUGAAAAGCGAGGGUGGAUAUGUCUGGGCAUGUAAAAACUAUGAUGGAGAUGUUCAAAGUGACUUCCUUGCCCAAGGUUUUGGUUCUCUGGGUUUGAUGUCAUCUGUUCUGUUAUCUUCUGAUGGGAAGACAUUAGAGGCAGAGGCUGCUCAUGGGACUGUCACUAGACAUUUCAGGUUACAUGAGAAGGGACAGGAGACGAGUACCAAUAGCAUAGCUUCUAUAUUUGCUUGGACUCGUGGGCUAGAGCAUAGAGCAAAGCUGGAUAAUAAUGAUAGGCUGCUGGAUUUCACACAGAAGCUUGAAUCUGCAUGUGUUGAAACAGUGGAAUCUGGGAAAAUGACAAAGGAUCUUGCACUUCUUAGCCAUGGCACCAAGGUAACAAGGGAGCAUUAUCUGAGCACCGAGGAAUUCAUUGAUGCUGUAGCUCAGCAGCUGCGGGAAAAGAUCCAGAUACCAGCCUCUUUGUAA